UAACAUGCAAAAUGAACAUGUUUUGCUUUUUAAUUCUCCUUCACUCAGUCUUUGUAUAAUAUAUAUUUUUAGACGAGCUGAUCGCCAACCAGGAGAUCAGAAUGAUCGCAUCUGCUCCUGCCACUUUAAGGAUGGUAAGAAGCAGGGGGACCCUGCAUAUUUUGCAUGGAAUGAAGGAAAGGCCAUGGAUUUCUCUGAUCCUGAAUGUACAAAAAGGAGGAAAAAACUCAAAAGUGAGGAGUCUCUGUCAUCUUCACAGAUGGACCAGUUGCAGAUUCCACAAGCACCAAAAUGUCAAGAUCAAGAAAAAUUGAUAUCAGAGCACAACUACUCAGCAUCCUGCACAUUUAACUGUACUCAAGAAAUGCAGCGCCUCUCAACAGAAAUACAACUGGAAAAGGAAUUGCUUGCCUAAAAAUAGAGUCCAGUAAAAGGAAGCCAAUAUCAAUUCACGAUAUUAAAUACAACGAAGAGAAGAUGCUUUUGUAUACAUCCCUACAGUAUGACAGGCAUAUUCUAAAUCUUAGUCAGAUUGAUACAACGAUUUGAACUCGAUUAUUAAAAUGGCUGGACUCCUUCGAUGAAAACAGAGGACCAACUGCUCAUUGUACUAAUGAAGUUAAAACUCAAUCUACGGGACACUGACUUGGCUGAUAGAUUCUGUGUCAGUGGACACACAAGAUGCUAUCUGAUGG